CCUACGGGAGGCAGCAGUGGGGAAUCUUAGACAAUGGGCGCAAGCCUGAUSUAGCCAUGCCGCGUGWGUGAUGAAGGUCUUAGGAUCGUAAAGCACUUUCGCCAGGGAUGAUAAUGACAGUACCUGGUAAAGAAACCCCGGCUAACUCCGUGCCAGCAGCCGCGGUAAUACGGAGGGGGUKAGCGUUGUUMGGAAUUAYUGGGSGUAAAGMGUASGUAGGMGGAUUGGAAAGUUGGGGGUGAAAUCCCAGGGCUCAACCCUGGAACUGCCUCCAAAAMUAUCAGUGUAGAGUUCGAGAGAGGKGAGUGGAAUUYCAAGWGUAGAGGUGAAAUUYKUAGAUAUUUGGAGGAACACCAGUGGGGAAGGSGGCUCACUGGCUMGAUAMWGACGCUGAGGUACGAAAGUGUGGGGAGCAAACASGAUUAGAUACCCYGGUAGUCCACACCGUAAACGAURAAUGCCAGUSGUCGGGCAGUAUACUGUUCGUGACACACCUAACGGAUUAAG
rnacentral:rRNA from 1 species